rnacentral:lncRNA from 1 species
GGCAACCCGCUCGGUCCUCUUACACACUGUGGUAGCUUUGUUCUUUUGCUCUUUGCAAUAAAUCUUGCUACUGCUCACUCUUUGGGUCCACACUGCCUUUAUGAGCUGUAACACUCACCGGGAAGGUCUGCAGCUUCACUCCGGAAGCCAGCGAGACCAGGAGCCCACCGGAAGGAACAAACAACUCCAGACGCCCCGCCUUGAGAGCUGUAACACUCACCCUGAAGGUCUGCGGCUUCACUCCUGAGCCAGCGAGACCACGAACCCACCAGAAGGAAGAAACUGAACACAUCUGAACAUCAGAAGGAACAAACUCCGGACACGCCGCCUUUAAGAACGGCCUCAAGCUACUGUGGAAAAACCAUAUCGCAUUCAAAAGUGUCUUUCAACUAUAAAAAGAAUACCCCAGAGAAUCUUCUCCAAAAACAUUUCUUCCAGCUGUCUGUGGGGCCUUGUGAAAUCAAAGGUAAGAAAAACUCAGAAGUUCAGAAGGCACAAAGGCAUCAUCUCCCAAGAAUAGUCUAACACAAGUGUGAGAGUGAAUACACAGAAUACACUGCUGAAGCUGAUAGUGACUAACUCAACUGAGACUAAGUGCAUAGUUAAGAAAAACAUGGUUCUGCUGAAAGGAAAAAUCUCCAGAAGGUAAGUGGAAGUAAUCACGUCUUUGGUAUGAGUGCGACAUAUUUUUAAUCCACUAUUUCAGGAAAAGAGAUGUCUCUCCUUAAUUUAACAAUGUUUUUGUUAUUGGAUUAAAUAAUUUUUAUUUUUAGGCAUUUUUAAUUACACAGAAACACCUAUUUAUAUGCAUAGUAACCUAUACAUUCUGCUAAAAUUUAAAACUAGUAUUAGUAAACUUUCCCAAGCAAAUCAUUAUAUAGGUAGAAUAAGUAUAUAUCUCUGCUUCACAGACGGUGAAAAAAAA